UUGAACGCUGGCGGCAUGCUUUACACAUGCAAGUCGGACGGCAGCACAGAGAAGCUUGCUUCUCGGGUGGCGAGUGGCGAACGGGUGAGUAACAUAUCGGAACGUACCGAGUAGUGGGGGAUAACUGAUCGAAAGAUCAGCUAAUACCGCAUACGUCUUGAGAGAGAAAGCAGGGGACCUUUGGGCCUUGCGCUAUUCGAGCGGCCGAUAUCUGAUUAGCUAGUUGGUGGGGUAAAGGCCUACCAAGGCGACGAUCAGUAGCGGGUCUGAGAGGAUGAUCCGCCACACUGGGACUGAGACACGGCCCAGACUCCUACGGGAGGCAGCAGUGGGGAAUUUUGGACAAUGGGCGCAAGCCUGAUCCAGCCAUGCCGCGUGUCUGAAGAAGGCCUUCGGGUUGUAAAGGACUUUUGUCAGGGAAGAAAAGGCUGUUGCUAAUAUCAGCGGCUGAUGACGGUACCUGAAGAAUAAGCACCGGCUAACUACGUGCCAGCAGCCGCGGUAAUACGUAGGGUGCGAGCGUUAAUCGGAAUUACUGGGCGUAAAGCGGGCGCAGACGGUUACUUAAGCAGGAUGUGAAAUCCCCGGGCUCAACCCGGGAACUGCGUUCUGAACUGGGUGACUCGAGUGUGUCAGAGGGAGGUAGAAUUCCACGUGUAGCAGUGAAAUGCGUAGAGAUGUGGAGGAAUACCGAUGGCGAAGGCAGCCUCCUGGGACAACACUGACGUUCAUGCCCGAAAGCGUGGGUAGCAAACAGGAUUAGAUACCCUGGUAGUCCACGCCCUAAACGAUGUCAAUUAGCUGUUGGGCAACUUGAUUGCUUAGUAGCGUAGCUAACGCGUGAAAUUGACCGCCUGGGGAGUACGGUCGCAAGAUUAAAACUCAAAGGAAUUGACGGGGACCCGCACAAGCGGUGGAUGAUGUGGAUUAAUUCGAUGCAACGCGAAGAACCUUACCUGGUCUUGACAUGUACGGAAUCCUCCAGAGACGGAGGAGUGCCUUCGGGAGCCGUAACACAGGUGCUGCAUGGCUGUCGUCAGCUCGUGUCGUGAGAUGUUGGGUUAAGUCCCGCAACGAGCGCAACCCUUGUCAUUAGUUGCCAUCAUUCAGUUGGGCACUCUAAUGAGACUGCCGGUGACAAGCCGGAGGAAGGUGGGGAUGACGUCAAGUCCUCAUGGCCCUUAUGACCAGGGCUUCACACGUCAUACAAUGGUCGGUACAGAGGGUAGCCAAGCCGCGAGGCGGAGCCAAUCUCACAAAACCGAUCGUAGUCCGGAUUGCACUCUGCAACUCGAGUGCAUGAAGUCGGAAUCGCUAGUAAUCGCAGGUCAGCAUACUGCGGUGAAUACGUUCCCGGGUCUUGUACACACCGCCCGUCACACCAUGGGAGUGGGGGAUACCAGAAGUAGGUAGGGUAACCGCAAGGAGUCCGCUUACCACGGUAUGCUUCAUGACUGGGGUGAAGUCGUAA
rnacentral:rRNA from 1 species